GUGGGGAAUCUUCCGCAAUGGACGAAAGUCUGACGGAGCAACGCCGCGUGAGUGAAGAAGGUUUUCGGAUCGUAAAGCUCUUUCGUUAGGGACGAACGUGCUCUUUGUGAAUAAUGAGGAGUAAUGACGGUACUUAAAUAAGAAGCCACGGCUAACUACGUGCCAGCAGCCGCGGUAAUACGUAGGUGGCAAGCGUUGUCCGGAAUUAUUGGGCGUAAAGCGCGCGCAGGCGGGAUAUCAAGUCUGUCUUAAAAGUGCGAGGCUCAACCUCGUGAGGGGACAGAAACUGGUAUUCUUGAGUGUCGGAGAGGAAAGUGGAAUUCCAAGUGUAGCGGUGAAAUGCGUAGAGAUUUGGAAGAACACCAGUGGCGAAGGCGACUUUCUGGACGAUGUCUGACGCUGAGGCGCGAAAGCUAGGGGAGCGAACGGGAUUAGAUACCCUGUAGUCC
rnacentral:rRNA from 1 species